rnacentral:rRNA from 1 species
UACAGAGGUCUCAACCGUUGUUCGGAUUCAUUGGGCGUAAAGGGUGCGUAGGCGGCGGGGUAAGUCAGGUGUGAAAUCUCGGGGCUCAACCCCGAAACUGCACUUGAUACUGCCUCGCUUGAGUACUGGAGAGGAGACUGGAAUUUACGGUGUAGCAGUGAAAUGCGUAGAUAUCGUAAGGAAGACCAGUGGCGAAGGCGAGUCUCUGGACAGUUCCUGACACUGAGACACGGAGGCCAGGGGAGCAAACGGG